rnacentral:misc_RNA from 1 species
UUGUCUGAAUAAGGGAGCGCAGGUCGCUCCCGUUUCACAACCUUUUUAAUUGGACCGGCGGUGUUCACUUGAUUGUGACCCGUCCGAUCAGCCAUGCGUAUCUUGGACAUUACUCUUAAUAAAUACAGUUUACA